rnacentral:rRNA from 1 species
GACGAACGCUGGCGGCGUGCUUAACACAUGCAAGUCGAACGAUGAUCCGGUUUCGGCCGGGGAUUAGUGGCGAGCGGGUGAGUAACACGUGGGCAAUCUGCCCUGCACUCUGGGAUAAGCCUGGGAAACUGGGUCUAAUACCGGAUAUGACCUUCUCUCGCAUGGGGGAGGGUGGAAAGCUUUUGCGGUGCAGGAUGGGCCCGCGGCCUAUCAGCUUGUUGGUGGGGUAGUGGCCUACCAAGGCGACGACGGGUAGCCGGCCUGAGAGGGUGACCGGCCACACUGGGACUGAGACACGGCCCAGACUCCUACGGGAGGCAGCAGUGGGGAAUAUUGCACAAUGGGCGAAAGCCUGAUGCAGCGACGCCGCGUGAGGGAUGACGGCCUUCGGGUUGUAAACCUCUUUCAGCAGGGAAGAAGCCUUGCCUUUUUGGGUGGGUGACGGUACUUGCAGAAGAAGCACCGGCUAACUACGUGCCAGCCGCCGCCGUAA